rnacentral:rRNA from 1 species
GAUUUCUGACGAACCGGAGUGGCCCGUUCUCUUUCGGGGAAUGAGUGCCGCUUUGAGUUUGUCAUCCUUCCAGAGAGCUGCGUCUACCGUUUAUUCGGCCGGAUGUAUGCGGUCUGGAUCUAUUACUUUGAAAAAAUUAGAGUGUUUAAAGCAGGCUUUUUGCUAUGAAUACAUUAGCAUGGAAUAAUAAUUUAGGACUUUGGCCCUAUUUUGUUGGUUUCUAGGACUGAAGUAAUGAUUGAUAGGGAUAGUUGGGGGUGCUAGUAUUCAGCGGCCAGAGGUGAAAUUCUUGGAUUCGCUGAAGACUAACUUAUGCGAAAGCAUU